rnacentral:rRNA from 1 species
UACGAAGGGGGCGAGCGUUGUUCGGAUUUACUGGGCGUAAAGCGCGCGCAGGCGGUCUUUCAAGUCAGUGGUGAAAGCCCGGAGCUCAACUCCGGAAAUGCCAUUGAAACUGUAAGACUUGAGGAUGAGAGAGGUGAGUGGAAUUCCCAGUGUAGAGGUGAAAUUCGUAGAUAUUGGGAAGAACACCGGUGGCGAAGGCGGCUCACUGGCUCAUAUCUGACGCUCAGGCGCGACAGCGUGGGGAUCAAACAGG